AUUGAACGCUGGCGGCAGGCCUAACACAUGCAAGUCGAACGGUAACAGGAAGACGCUUGCUUCUUUGCUGACGAGUGGCGGACGGGUGAGUCUUGUCUGCGAAACUGCCUGAUGGAGGGGGAUCACUACUGGAAACGGUAGCUAAUACCGCAUAACGUCGCAAGACCAAUGAGGGGGCCCUUCGUGCCUCUUGUCAUCGGAUGUGCCCAGAUGGGAUUAGCUAGUAGGUGGGGUAACGGCUCACCUAGGCGACGAACCCUAGCUGGUCUGAGAGGGUGACCAGCCACACGGGAAGUGAGACAGGGUCCAGACUCCGACAGGAGGAAGCAGUGGAGAAUAUUACGCGAGGCGGGAGAGGCUAAUGCAGCCAUGUCGGGUGUAUGAUGAAGGCCUAAUGCUUGGAAAGUACUUAAGGCGGUGAGGAAGGAAAGAAAGUUAAUACCGUAGCUCAUUGACGUUACCCGCAGAAGAAGCUCCGGCUAACUCCGUG
rnacentral:rRNA from 1 species